AUACGGAGGGUGCAAGCGUUAAUCGGAAUUACUGGGCGUAAAGCGUACGUAGGCGGCAAGUUAAGUUAGAUGUGAAAGCCCCGGGCUCAACCUGGGAACUGCAUUUAAAACUGGCUUGCUAGAGUUGAGUAGAGGGGAGUGGAAUUUCAGGUGUAGCGGUGAAAUGCGUAGAGAUCUGAAGGAACACCAGUGGCGAAGGCGACUCCCUGGACUCGAACUGACGCUGAGGUACGAAAGCGUGGGUAGCAAACGGGAUUAGAAACCCUUGUAGUCC
rnacentral:rRNA from 1 species